AGCGAACGCUGGCGGCAGGCCUAACACAUGCAAGUCGAACGAAGUCUUCGGACUUAGUGGCGGACGGGUGAGUAACACGUGGGAACGUGCCUUUAGGUUCGGAAUAACUCAGGGAAACUUGUGCUAAUACCGAAUGUGCCCUUCGGGGGAAAGAUUUAUCGCCUUUAGAGCGGACCGCGUCUGAUUAGCUAGUUGGUGAGGUAAAGGCUCACAAAGGCUACGAUCAGUAGCUGGUCUGAGAGGAUGACCAGCCACAUUGGGGCUGAGACACGGCCCAAAUUCCUACGGGAGGCAGCAGUGGGGAAUCUUCCGCAAUGGGCGAAAGCCUGACGCAGCCAUGCCGCGUGGAUGAUGAAGGUCUUAGGAUUGUAAAAUCCUUUCACCGGUGAAGAUAAUGACUGUAGCCGGAGAAGAAGCCUCGGCUAACUUCGUGCCAGCCGCCGCCGUAACAC
rnacentral:rRNA from 1 species